GACGAACGCUGGCGGCGCGCCUAACACAUGCAAGUCGAACGAGAAAGAGGGAGCUUGCUCCCUUGAUCGAGUGGCGAACGGGUGAGUAACGCGUGAGGAACCUGCCUCAAAGAGGGGGACAACAGUUGGAAACGACUGCUAAUACCGCAUAAGCCCACGGCUCGGCAUCGAGCAGAGGGAAAAGGAGCGAUCCGCUUUGAGAUGGCCUCGCGUCCGAUUAGCUAGUUGGUGAGGUAACGGCCCACCAAGGCGACGAUCGGUAGCCGGACUGAGAGGUUGAACGGCCACAUUGGGACUGAGACACGGCCCAGACUCCUACGGGAGGCAGCAGUGGGGAAUAUUGCACAAUGGGGGAAACCCUGAUGCAGCGACGCCGCGUGGAGGAAGAAGGUCUUCGGAUUGUAAACUCCUGUUGUUGAGGAAGAUAAUGACGGUACUCAACAAGGAAGUGAACGGCUAACUACGUG
rnacentral:rRNA from 1 species